AUGGGAACUGGGGGGAGCAAAGAGUGGGGAACUGGGCAGGCAGACACCCCCACAGAGCACUCAUGGCCCCCACAGAAAUACACCCACACUCAUCACAGCAAACCAAAACAAUCACACGCCGGUACACAAACACACACACCCCCGCACCAAUCCAGGCAGACACAAAGCUCACGGCGACAGGCAGAUCUGAUUCACACAGACACAGGCACAGGUGCUUCCUGAUGCCACCCUCUCUUGGUCACGUGCCAGCACUUGGAGGGAGGAAAGUGCCUCACCAGGCUGAGAUGCCCAAGGGACCCCCCAGGGAGGGAAAGCAGGACACACUGGGACAGUUGCUUCCAGCCCUGUCCACACCCUUGUGCCCAUCAGGUAUGCCGCUCACCCCCACCCCACCUGGACCUUGGUGUCACCUAGGAUUGCAGAGGCCGCCUUCAGCCCAGAGCCUGGGGCCUUGCCCACUGCCUCACCUCCCAGGAUAGGGCAUGCUGUUCCUUUCUCCUUCCCUUUCUUUGCUCUUGUGUGCCUGCCUUUAGCAAACGCCCACUGGGUGUGUGGGUACACUGCGGCCUUUAAAGAGAAGAGAAACACAUGAGGCUUACAGCAGGAGGCCCUGCCUAGGUUCCAAGGGACAUGGAGCAGGGUGGCUGUGUAGAGCUGGGGAGCAUCCCAAGCCUGUGCCAAGGUUCCAAGGACAAAAAGGGCAAGGAGGCCCAGUGCGGGGUGGUGGGGGAGCAGCUAGCCAGGGCCAACAGUGAGCCUCGCGCCUGGGCAGGUGUAGCCUUUAAACGCGGUGGGGGAACCAUGGACAGCAUCUAAGCAGGGACGUGCCGUGAGUCCUGGGGGUGCAGGGGUGUCUAGAGGGGAAGCUGGGAAGCAGGGGUCACAGCUUUCCGACUGGUGGCUGAGUGUGGGGAAGACAGGAGGGGCAGGUGUGAGAUGUACAGCAGACACAGCUGUGUGCUGGGGCAUGGUGGGCUGUGGUGAGAGAGAGGAGCAGGUCUUCUCCCCGCGUGUUCAGAGCAGAUCCAAACUCUUCUCCCAUUCCUUCCUCCACCGUGCAUCCUCAGCACCCCUCAGCACUGGCCUGUGUGGGCAGCGUGAGCACAGAGAGCAGGAGCUUGCCCUCAGAGGCUUCAGGGGGUCGCUUGUACCCAGUGGUAUGGUCAGCAUCAUGUUUGACCAAAGGGAGGAAGGUGGCUGUGACCAGAGCGAGGGGGGGUCCUGAUGCAGCUGGGGAGUCAGGCUCGAGUGCAUGCUGUGCAUGUUCUCUGCCUCUCUUCCUGGGGGGCAGGCGAGUCUCCAGAGCCUGGAGGACAAGUUAGCCUUGCGAAGGAUAGCAGAGGACCCAGCCCAGGGGUCCCCAAAAUGGAGCACCAACCCUCCAUGCAGGCCAAGCCACUGGUGAAUAUGCUGCAAAAAAUAUGCUGGAACUUCUAUGAAUACCACAGGGUGUGAGAAGAAAACAUUAGAACUUCUAUUUUGUACCUGUGUUACUCCACAACAAGAAAGCAAUCAGCUUGAUCAAUGCCUACUGUAAAGACGGCACCGCCCUCCGGAGGUCCUUUCUCAGCCCUGGUGUUCGGACAGCCACAUCCCCUCGCAGCAGGGGGAGGCCUGAAGCAUAGAGGGGCCCAUGCAGGUCUAUUCUGUUUCAGCGAAUUGCCUGGGAAAUAAUCCAGGAUCCAUUUCGUGUGGUCAUCUUGUCUCCCUGGUCCCCUCCAGCCUUUCCUCAUCUUUUGUGACCUGGUCACUCUGGAAGGGCGCUGGCCAGUUAGUCCACAGGAUGGGCCUCCCCUGGGGCUUUUCUGAUGCUUCCUUAUGAUGGCACUGGCAUCCUGAGGGGGAGGACCACAGAGAGGAGGUGCUCCUCAUCACACCACAUGGGGGUCCAUGCACCAGUGCCACUGCUUUCCAGGGCUCUUCACCUUCAUCACUGGUGGAGGUGGCGUCUGCCAAGAAGCAGAAAGUUGAGGCUUAGAAGGUGCACGGCCCUACCUCUUCCGAGGUGCCCCUGCGGGCUGUCUACAGACCAGGCAGCACAUGCCUGAUAGCAGCUGCAUAAGGAAAAGCAGGAGCCAGCUCGUGCACAGUGGCCUCAAGUGUGCACUGGGCAUGUUCUCUGCCUCACCAUCCCUGUGUGACAGAUGAAGCAUGACAGCCCUCAACAGAAGCCAAGGCCAAGUCCUCGAACUUCCUAGUCUGCACAAUGACACUUCUGAUGAAACUGAAAAUGCCACCAGGGAGAAGCAGCUGAACUUCAAGGACCACAGAGGGCCAAGUGCAGGAGUAAGAGGCUGGCGUGCUGACAGUGGCCAAGGGCAUUGGAGGGAAGGACCUGUCAUCACUGGGCCAAGGAAGGAACUCCAGACUGCCUACUUCCAGAGGGCCUGCUGAGGAAUUUUAGCUUGAACUUGCCUGCCUUGACUAGGGCUUUCUGAGCAGCAGAUGAUUCUGCAAUGGUGUUAGUCCAGGCCUGGUUCUGCAUGACAUUGACCAUACUGUGCACCCUGGGGUCAUUAUGUCUUGGGCUUCAAGGGGCUCCAUGGGCUCCAGGGGGCUCCAUGUGACACUGCACAGAGCUCUCUCUAGGUCACCUGGAUGUGUCUCUUCCUAGGAACCCCAAAGAGCUCUCUCAACAAACACACCCACGAGUUCCAGGAGUGAGGCUGCAGGGAACAGCCUCACUCUCAGAGGGGAUACAGAAUUGUUCCACUGGACAAGGGCUGGGAUCGUCAUAGGAUGCCGUUGGCCUGUGGUUUCCAACAGAGGUGCAGUUCAUUGAACUGUGGUCUACAGUCCAUUCUCUAACUUGGGGACCCUUGAAGAAGUGUGGAAUCAUGACAACAACCCUGUUGGGAGACACUAUUAUUCCCAUCACAUGGAUGAGCACACGGAGGCAAAAGGAAGUUAUAUGAUUGUCUGAGAUCACCCAGUGAAGACUGUGUGGCUGGGAGUUGUCCCCAGUGUUAUCUGCACGCUGCUUCCUUUUGAUGCCUGGCCCUUCUUUAUCAAAAGAAGCAUUGGCAGAAUCUGGGUGUUUAUGGGUCAGCUCAAAAUAAAUUACUUUAUAUGUCAUUCA
ensembl:lncRNA LINC01471 long intergenic non-protein coding RNA 1471